rfam:Brachypodium distachyon strain Bd21 chromosome 1, whole genome shotgun sequence.
UACGUAAUCUCACCGUCCAACAAAGGAUGUCUCAACUUUGAUUAAAUUUGAAUGUAUCUAUACACUAAGUCAUGUCUAGAGACAUCCAAAUUUUGACAAGUUUGAGACAUCUUUUGUUGGACGAAAAGAGUACUCC